rnacentral:rRNA from 1 species
UCCAGACUCCUACGGGAGGCAGCAGUGGGGAAUAUUGCACAAUGGGGGAAACCCUGAUGCAGCGACGCCGCGUGAGUGAGGAAGUAUUUCGGUAUGUAAAGCUCUAUCAGCAGGGAAGAAAAUGACGGUACCUGACUAAGAAGCCCCGGCUAACUACGUGCCAGCAGCCGCGGUAAUACGUAGGGGGCAAGCGUUAUCCGGAUUUACUGGGUGUAAAGGGAGCGUAGACGGCUAAUCAAGUCAGAAGUGAAAACCCGGGGCUCAACCGUGGGACUGCUUUUGAAACUGAGUAGCUAGAGUGCAGGAGAGGUAAGCGGAAUUCCUAGUGUAGCGGUGAAAUGCGUAGAUAUUAGGAGGAACACCAGUGGCGAAGGCGGCUUACUGGACUGUAACUGACGUUGAGGCUCGAAAGCGUGGGGAGCAAACAGGAUUAGAUACCCGAGUAG